rnacentral:rRNA from 1 species
UACGAAGGGGGCUAGCGUUGCUCGGAAUCACUGGGCGUAAAGCGCACGUAGGCGGACUCUUAAGUCGGUGGUGAAAUCCUGGAGCUCAACUCCAGAACUGCCUUCGAUACUGAGAGUCUCGAGUCCGAGAGAGGUGAGUGGAACUGCGAGUGUAGAGGUGAAAUUCGUAGAUAUUCGCAAGAACACCAGUGGCGAAGGCGGCUCACUGGCCCGGUACGUGACGCUGAGGUGCGAAAGCGUGGGGAGCAAACAGGG